rnacentral:rRNA from 1 species
CCAGACUCCUACGGGAGGCAGCAGUGGGGAAUAUUGCACAAUGGGGGGAACCCUGAUGCAGCAACGCCGCGUGAAGGAAGAAGGCUUUCGGGUUGUAAACUUCUAUCAAUAGGGACGAAAAGAAUGACGGUACCUAAAUAAGAAGCCCCGGCUAACUACGUGCCAGCAGCCGCGGUAAUACGUAGGGGGCAAGCGUUAUCCGGAAUUACUGGGUGUAAAGGGAGCGUAGACGGUUAAGUAAGUCUGGAGUGAAAGGCCGGGGCCCAACCCCGGGACUGCUCUGGAAACUAUUCAACUUGAGUGCAGGAGAGGUAAGCGGAAUUCCUAGUGUAGCGGUGAAAUGCGUAGAUAUUAGGAGGAACACCAGUGGCGAAGGCGGCUUACUGGACUGUAACUGACGUUGAGGCUCGAAAGCGUGGGGAGCAAACAGGAUUAGAUACCCGAGUAC